GAACUGAAGAGUUUGAUCAUGGCUCAGAUUGAACGCUGGCGGCAGGCCUAACACAUGCAAGUCGAG
rnacentral:rRNA from 1 species